AAACAGGAAGAAAGCCUGCCCAAGCCUGGUUUCAUAGCAUAACACAGCAGUAGUGUUAGAGAAGUAAAAAUGGGCUGAUGAGGCUUUCAUUCAGUAACACAACAGUGGCAACUUGAAUACUAAGGAAAAAUUUCACUUUAUAUAAAUGUGUGUGUGUGUAUGUAGUGGAUGCUUUCUCCUGCAUUAUUUUUUGAUGAAGAUGUUGAGAUGGCAUAUUUGGAUGCUUAACGAAAAAACUCCAAACCAUCUUUAGCUUCAGAUGCUGAAAAGAGUUGACUGUCUGCUCUUUCCCAUAGUGCAUCCUUUUGCUGCGUGAUUGACGUUACUGUUCUGGAGGGCAGCCCACACUGACUGAAAAUGAUCCUCACAGCGCAGAGAUGCACGCUAGAUUUCUUCCCAGUUAUGCAACAUGCUGGUCAUAUGCCAAAGCAGAAAAAUCACUGUUCACAGGACCAUGCAGGAAAACACCAGAAAUGUGAGAGCUAACCUGGGAGCCACAGGGGACUGACUAGGGGAGAUCACUGGGGUCUCUGUCGAGCACUCAGCAGAUGCCCAGUCCGCAUAUUACCCUAAUCUCUAUCAGAGGCCUUCUUGUCUCCAGCUGCAACAAUGGUCCAGAGUUGGUUGUUUUUUAAUGUCCUGCAUCUCUAAAAAGCCACAAGUUUGCAUACUUCUCCAGGGAUUCAAAGCAUCUCAUAACUCCAAGUGCAAAAAGCUCUCACCUUCUCCUACCUGAUCAAACAGAC
ensembl:lncRNA